CGCCUACGUUGAGCUGAAGGCAGCAUGUGCUGCGCUGCUCCGCUCCAACUAUGGCUCAGUGCGGCUCAGGCUCUUCACGGGAGCGCAUCGUGAGAGAGCUGCACACUGAGACGCUGCUUGGAGCUCCAGAGAGAGACAGAGAGAGAGAGAGAGAGAGACCAUCACUGCGCUGGACCACAAGGAGGAACCAGCUGCUUUUAUUGAUGCUUAUUGGAAAUAAUCACACUGAUCGAUCUGCUUGAUUUGCCGGAUCAACUUUACGCAUGGAUAUUUUGGACGCAUUAUAAGGAUUAAACGCUGUUGUUAUAGCCCUGACACACGUGGAGGAGUUAUUAUUAUAUAUUAUUAUUAUUGGUACAACUUAAUGAUGGCAACAGCUGAUGGAUUCAACGCUCCAGCUGUGUGUCCUCCUGUGGGAUAUGAGGAAAUACUGUCUACUACAAGGGAUGUCCAGUUCUCCUUCUGCUGGACAGACGAGCCUCUUGGGAUACUUUCACGCGUGUGGCCAGUGUCAUCUAUACAUGGCCAAUAUGGUUUUGGAAAUCGAUAUUUGUUGCAGUGGAUUUUGGCACAAUGAAAAGGAAUAUCCUGGAAUAUAUUAUUAUGGAAGCGAUGCUCUGCAGAUGUGCAGCAGCAGUUAAUGGAUAAUGACAUCUCCUCUUCAUCAUCACCCAGCAGUGAAGGAAUCCGAAUUCUUGGAUUGAGAUGUCGACCUUUAAUUGCUUCCCAGGGAUCUUUUGAUGAUCUCAGGUGAGCGCCGAGAAGAGGCUGAGUAAUGGAAACAUGACCUCAAGAGAUUCAACAGGAUCACACUAAAUCCUGGUUUGGACCGCGGACCAGCAUCCCCUGCAGCAGAUGUUUGCUCCUGGCAUGGCUGCGAACAGCGUGAGCUCCACCGCUGACGAUCCAAAGCGCCAGCAGCUUGGACUUGGGAGAAGCUGUGACAUAAACUCAGCGGGACAGCGGAGUGUAUUCCGCUGCUCAGACAUUAUGGAACAGAUCAGUCAACACCGUUUGGAGAGGCGCUCGAUAGGAAAGUCCGUGAAUGCGCGUUUAGCGUAGUCGCCACAAUGGAUCUACACAUUGUUUGACUUUUUCUAAAUUGAACCUGGAUUAAUAUUUUCCCGUAUAUACAUCUGCUUUUGAUAUCCACUGUUUAUUCACGCUGUUGCUCAUACACCGCAGUUGUGACAUUAUACUGUGUUAUUCUGGAUACAGUAUCAACAAGCGCUGGAGCUGUAAACGGAAAAUAAUCAGAUGUUAUUUUCAUUUUUAGGCCUAUUUUUACAGACUGAAGGCAGCGCUUGCACCAAUGCAGUGAAAGUGUAUCUUGUGAAGAGCACAGGAAAUAUUUCCUAGAAUAAUAUAAUAAUAAAUUAUGAUGAAGACAUAAUCUGACAUCUUCUAAUUGCGAUCACAAAGAAGCCAUUUAAUCAAGGUGCAACUAUUGACAUAUCAUUCUGACACAUUGGCAGCUUUUGCUAUUAUGUAUUAUUAAUCUUGUCAGUCUGUUUGUUCUGAGAAUGAUUUAUAUGUCCCUAACUUGUGUUGUGUGUGGGAAACCCAAUUAAAAGCAAUAAAAAAAAGUGUAUCCAA